UACGUAGGGUGCAAGCGUUAAUCGGAAUUACUGGGCGUAAAGCGUGCGCAGGCGGUUAUGUAAGACAGGUGUGAAAUCCCCGGGCUUAACCUGGGAACUGCAUUCGAUACUGCGUGGCUAGAGUGCUGGAGAGGAGACUGGAAUUUACGGUGUAGCAGUGAAAUGCGUAGAUAUCGUAAGGAAGACCAGUGGCGAAGGCGAGUCUCUGGACAGCAACUGACGCUGAGGCACGAAGGCCAGGGGAGCAAACGGG
rnacentral:rRNA from 1 species